rnacentral:lncRNA from 1 species
CCCAUGGGGCUCUGAGAUGGCGCUGCGGGUCCUGCUGGCUCUGGGGCUGCUGCUGGGGGGGGGCGCGGGGGGGGCUCGAGUUUCCUCCUCUCUGUCGGCUUCACACCGCGCUCGAGGCGCCGCCCCCGUUCAUCACUUCCAUCGAACCCGGCCCGGCGCCGCCCCCGUCAGCAUCAAUAGGGGGGGGGGCGGCCCCCGCGGCCACGGUGAGCUUCGGCCUCGCCUUCCUCAUCCUCGUCUUCAUCUUCCUCUUCAUCGUCGCCUUUGGCCUCGCGUUUGUUGUUGUUUUGGUCCUCGUUUUCAUCAUUUUCAUCCACAUCCUCGCUUUCGUCAUCAUCGUCAUCAUCAUCAUCCUCAGCUUCGGCCUCGCUUUCCUCCUCCUCCUCUUCCUCCUCCUCAUCCUCGUCUUCAUCUUCAUCUUCCUCCUCAUCGUCACCUUUGGCCUCGCGUUCGUCGUCGUUUUUGUCCUCAUUUUCAUCAUCUUCAUCCCCAUCCUCGCUUUCAUCAUCAUCAUUGUCAUCAUCAUCCACAUCUUCGGCCUCACCUUCAUCCUCAUCCCCAUCCUCAUCCUCCUCAUCUUCAUCUUCCUCCUCAUCGUCGCCUUUGGCCUCGCGUUUGUUGUUUUGGUCCUCAUUUUCAUCAUCUUCAUCCCCAUCCUCGCUUUCAUCAUCAUCAUUGUCAUCAUCAUCCAUAUCUUCGGCCUCGCCUUCAUCCUCUCCUCUUCCUCAUCCUCUUCCUCCUCCUCAUCCUCAUCCUCAUCCUCAUC